rnacentral:rRNA from 1 species
ACGUAGGCAGCAAACGUUGUUCGGAGUUACUGGGCGUAAAACGUGCGCAGGCGGCUCUAUAAGACAGAUGUGAAAUCCCCGGGCUUAACCUGGGAAUGGCGUUUUGAACUGGCAGUCUAGAGUGCGUCAGAGGGGGGUGGAAUUCCACGUGUAGCAGUGAAAUGCGUAGAGAUGUGGAGGAACACCGAUGGCGAAGGCAGCCCCCUGGGAUGACACUGACGCUCAUGUACGAAAGCGUGGGUAGCAAACAG